UGGAGCGACAACUUGUCAGUCUAACCGGUAGAGACGACGAAACCAAACAGGCGAUUCGCCUAGUUUAGGGCGAAUAAGCACCAAACAAAUAAUCCCGUAGCGAUACCUCCAGUGAUUCACACACAUUCUUCAGUGGAUUCAGUGGAUUGCACACACAUUAGAAUAUUGAGGCCUUGGUUUGGAAGAACAAAACUACUUAAACAGAAAAGGUUUCCACUCAAAGAACAUACAUAUAGCCUGUGAUUACGAUUUUGAAAUAUUAAACUUAAAUACACGUUACGCUGGAGCAUCACAUGAUGCAUACAUUUGGAGGCAUUCACUUGUUAGAGAUGAACUGUAAUCGUGGUAUCUUAGAGGUUAUUCUUGGCUGCUAGAAGACUCUGGUUAUCCACUAGAACCAUGGUUACUGACCCCCAUAGAAAAUGCUGAUCCAGAAACUCCCGACGGCAGAUAUACAGUGGCACAUGUGCAGACAAGGAAUUGUGUAGACAGGUGUACUGGUCUAUAUAAGAGGAGAUUUAUGUGUUUAUCAAGAACACUGAGGUAUUCUCCUGAAAAAGUUGGAAAUAUUGCCAAUGCCUGUGCAAUUUUACAUAAUGUAUGGCUGGCAGCUAGAUUCGAGUUGGACUUAAAUGUACCCCUACCACAAGAUCAACUUGGGGAUCCCAGAGUUCACAAUAAUGAUGCCAGGAUGAACAGGGAAGGACAUUUAACAAGAAGAAACAUCAUUGCAAGCUA